CUCGCCACAGGCGAUGAAUCCCGCCGGGGCCCCUUACGGCCCGAACCGCCCUCCCGGGCUGAUGGCUUCUGACACCCA
rnacentral:ncRNA from 2 species